rnacentral:rRNA from 1 species
CCUACGGGAGGCAGCAGUAGGGAAUCUUCCGCAAUGGACGAAAGUCUGACGGAGCAACGCCGCGUGAGCGAAGAAGGUCUUCGGAUCGUAAAGCUCUGUUGUUAGGGAAGAACAAGUACGGGAGGAAAUGACCGUACCUUGACGGUACCUGACGAGGAAGCCACGGCUAACUACGUGCCAGCAGCCGCGGUAAUACGUAGGUGGCAAGCGUUGUCCGGAAUUAUUGGGCGUAAAGCGCGCGCAGGCGGUCUUUUAAGUCUGAUGUGAAAUCUUGCGGCUCAACCGCAAGCGGUCAUUGGAAACGGGAGGACUUGAUGGCAGAAGGGAAAAGCGGAAUUCCAGUGGUGGCGGUGAAUGGGUUAGGGAGGGGAGGAACACCAGUGGCGAAGGCGGCUUUCUGGUCUGUAACUGACGCUGAGGCGCGAAAGCGUGGGGAGCAAACAGGAUUAGAUACCCCAGUAGUC